GUCGAACGAGAACGGGUCUUAGCUUGCUAAGAUUGUCAGCUAAGUGGCGCACGGGACGAGGAAUAUAUAGGUAACGUGCCUUCGAGAAGGGGAUAACGUUUGGAAACGAACGCUAAUACCCUAUAUGCCUUUAAGUCUUAAGACUGCAAGGGAAAUAUUUAUAGCUCGAAGAUCGGCCUGUACGGUAUCAGUUAGUUGGUGAGGUAAUGGCUCACCAAGACAAUGACGCCUAACUGGUUUGAGAGGAUGAUCAGUCACACUGGAACUGAGACACGGUCCAGACUCCUACGGGAGGCAGCAGUGGGGAAUAUUGCACAAUGGACGAAAGUCUGAUGCAGCAACGCCGCGUGGAGGAUGACACAUUUCUGUGCGUAAACUCCUUUUAUAUAGGAAGAUAAUGACGGUACUAUAUGAAUAAGCACCGGCUAACUCCGUGCCAGCAGCCGCGGUAAUACGGAGGGUGCAAGCGUUACUCGGAAUCACUGGGCGUAAAGAGAAUGUAGGCGGGUAGAUAAGUUUGAAGUGAAAUCCAAUGGCUCAACCAUUGAACUGCUUUGAAAACUGUUUACCUAGAAUAUGGGAGAGGUAGAUGGAAUUUCUGGUGUAGGUGUAAAAUCCGUAGAGAUCAGAAGGAAUACCGAUUGCGAAGGCGAUCUACUGGAACAUUA
rnacentral:rRNA from 1 species